CAGAAGUGCAAAAGAGUGAGGAGAAGCCCCCAGUGCUCUUAAAGCCUCAGCCUAGGACUGUCACCUCUGCUUAGCUUACUAUCAGUGGGGUGAGGAAAUAUACAUCACCUUUUGUGGAAGGAACGUCAAGGUCAUACAGCUAAAGAUGUGGAGACAGGGAAAGCUUGGCAGGCUCUAGAGAGACUGACCUCUGCAGAUGGUUUAAAGGGAGAAGCUCAAGGGUCCACAGUUCACAGGGCUGCCAAUCAGGCCUGUGCAGAAAACUCAACAGUCUAAAAGAAUAUAUGAAGACAGAACCUCAACCUAGAAGAAAUGGACAAAUUCCCAGACACAUCAAGGAAUUCCUAGACAAACUAUCAAAACUGAAUCAUGAUUAGAUAGAAAAUCUGAACAGAUCAAUAUAAGUAAAGAGAUUAAAGCAGUAAUAAACUCUCCCAUCAAAGAAAAGCUCAGGACCUGAUGGCUUCACUGCUGAAUUCUACCAAACGUUUAAAGAACUAACACCAAUGAUUCUCAAACUCUUUUUAAAAAUUGAAGAUGAGAGAACACUUCCAAAUUCAUAUCACGAGGCCAGCAUUACCCUGAUACCAACGCCAGACAAAGACACUAUAAGAAAAGGCAAUUAUGGACCAAUAUCCCUGAUAAACAUGGAUGUAAAAAUCCUCAUCAAAAUACUAGCAAAUGAAAUUCAACCACAAAUUUAAAAAAGCAUUCACCAUGAUCGAGUGGGAUUUAUCCCUGGGAUGCAGGAAGUUUCAACAUACACAAAUCCAUAAACAUGAUACACCACAUCAACAAGAUGAAGGACAAAAUCUUUAUAAUCUCAAUAGAUGCAGGAAAAGCAUUUAACAGAAUUCAGCACCCUUUCAUGAUUUAAAAAAACUCAACAAAAUAUAGAAGGACUGUACCCCAACACAAUAAAGACCAGAUAUGACAAACCCACAGCUAACAUUCUCAACAGUGAAAAGUUAAAAGCUUUUCUUCUGAGAUCAGGAACAAGACAAUAAUGCUCACUCUCUCGACUUCUGUUCAUCGUAACGUUGGAAGUUCUAGACAGAGCAAUUAGACAAAAAAAAAAAAAGAGAUAAAAGGCAUCCAAACUGAAAAGGAAGAAGUUAAAUUGUCCCUGUUUACAGAUAUCAUGAUCUUCUGUACAGAAAACUCUGGCUGGGUGCUGUGGCUCAUGCCUGUAAUCCCAGCUACUCAGGAGACUGAGGCAGGAGAAUAGCUUGAACCCGGGAGGUGGAGAUUCCAGUGAGCCAAGAUUGCACCACUGCUCUCCAGCCUGGGUGACAGAGUGAGACUCUGUCUCAAAAAAAAAAAAAAAAAAAAAAAAAAGAAGAAGAAGAAAAGGAGGAGAAGAAGAGGAGGAGGAGGAGGAAGAAGAAGAAGAGAACAACUCUAAAGACUCCAGCAAAAAAAAAAAAAAAAAGCUUUUGGAAUUAAUAAAUGAAUUCAGUAAAGUUGCAGGAUAUAUAAUUGAAAUGGUUUUAAUUUUUGUCCGCACCCAAAUCUCAUGUCGAAUUGUAAUCCUGAACACUGGAGGAGGGGCCUGGUGGGAGGUGAUUUCCUCCUUGCUGUUCUUGUGAUAGUGAGUGAGUUCUUACGAGAUCUGCUUUUUUAAAAGUAUGUACCACCUCUCCCUUUGCUCUCUUCCUCUUUCUCUGGCCAUGUAAGAUGUGCCUGCUUCCCCUUCACCUUCUGCCAAAAUUGUGAGUUUCCUGAGGCCUCCCUAGUCAUGCUUCCUGUACAGCCUGUGGAACCGUGAGUCAAUUAAACUUCUUUUCUUUAUAAAUUACCCAGUCUCAGGUAGUUCUUUAUAGCAAUGUGAGAACAGACUAAUACAAUAAUCAAUGCACAAAAAUUAGUAACAUUUCCAUACACUAAUCGCAAACUAUCUGAAAAAGAAAUCAAGAAAAUCGUCCCAUUUAUAAUAGCUACAAAAAGUAAAAAUAAUAUACUUUGGAAUGAAUUUAACCAGGGAAGUAAAAGACUUACACACUGAUUAAAACAAACAAAGAAUUUAUUAGGUGUGGAGGCACGUGCAAGUAGUCCUAGCUACUCAGGAGGCUGAGGCAGGAGAAUUGCAGGAGCCUAGGAGUUCAAGGCUGCAGUGAGCUUGUUCACAUCAUUGCACUCUUACCUGCAUGCAGAGCAAGACCCCUGUCUCUUAAAAAGUUAAAAAAAAGAAAAAAAAGACUGAAUCUCUACUCCACUAUUUUCCCGC
rnacentral:lncRNA from 1 species